GUGGGGAAUUUUGGACAAUGGGCGCAAGCCUGAUCCAGCAAUGCCGCGUGCAGGAAGAAGGCCUUCGGGUUGUAAACUGCUUUUGUACGGAACGAAACGGCUCUGGUUAAUACCCGGGGCUAAUGACGGUACCGUAAGAAUAAGCACCGGCUAACUACGUGCCAGCAGCCGCGGUAAUACGUAGGGUGCAAGCGUUAAUCGGAAUUACUGGGCGUAAAGCGUGCGCAGGCGGUUGUGUAAGACAGGCGUGAAAUCCCCGGGCUCAACCUGGGAAUUGCGCUUGUGACUGCACAGCUGGAGUGCGGCAGAGGGGGAUGGAAUUCCGCGUGUAGCAGUGAAAUGCGUAGAUAUGCGGAGGAACACCGAUGGCGAAGGCAAUCCCCUGGGCCUGCACUGACGCUCAUGCACGAAAGCGUGGGGAGCAAACAGGAUUAGAUACCCGGGUAGUCC
rnacentral:rRNA from 1 species